rnacentral:tRNA from 1 species
UCCCUGUUGGUCUAGUGGUUAAGACUCUGCGCUUCCAAUGCAGGGGACAUGGGUUAUAUCCCUGGUCAGGAAA